rnacentral:lncRNA from 10 species
GGUGCAAUCCUGGCUCACUGCAACCUCUGCCUCCCAGGUUCAAGUGAUUCUCCUGCCUCAGCUUCCCAAGUAGCUGGGACUACAGGCGUGUGCCACCACGACCAGAGGCCAGGUGCAGUGCAUGUAAUCCCAGCACUUUGGGAGACUGAGAUGGGAAGAUCGCUUGAGGCCAGGAGUGCAAGACCAGCCUGGGCAACACAGCAAGACCUUGAUUCUACUAAAAAAAAAAAAGGAUCCUUCAACUUCAACAAUAAUAACACAAGGGAAGUGAAGAAAAACACUUUCUAAGGAAAUCUCUCUCUGAGCUACCAUCCUGCUAGGGAGAGCCUGAAAGCAGAAUGCUGACUUGACUAGCUCUGGUCAAUGAAAGAAAUCACCAGUGGAAAGGCUACCAGGGGGCUUUCUCAAAAGAGAGGGACAGUAAACUGCAAGAUGAACAACUCAAUGCCAUCCAGGUCUGGAUGAGAAAGAACAGUCGAGAGACUGAGUUUCAGGAGUGGAAACACUCAAAGCAUCAUCUUCCACUUUCUUCUCCGGCUGCUAGGAAGAAGGGAAAAACACAGACCUUCUGAGGACCUGCGGAGCAAACCACUGGCUUCAGAAAAGCAAACAGGGACUUCCCUCUGCGCAGCAGGAAGCAGUUAGCCUAGUCGGAGGCUUGACUGAAGAAACAAAUGAGGGAAGGCAGAAGUUGAGACGCAGCCAGUAGAGGAAACUCCGGGAGAGGCAGGCAGCGUCACUUGAAGAAAAGCUCUAUUGUGAUGGGAACAAUCACAGGAACUAAGCGGCAACAAAAUGGCUCCCCACCCCCUCUGCAAAUCCCAACUCCAUGCAAGCACUCUCCCUUCCCUCAUUUUCUUUUCUUUUUUUUUGAGAUGGAGUCUCGCUCUGUUGCCCAGGCUGGAGUGCAGUAGCGCGAUCUCGGCUCACUGCAACCUCCACCUUCUGGUUUCAAGCAAUUCUCCUGCCUCAGCCUCCCCAGUAGCUGGGACUACAGGCGUGUGCCACCACGCCUGGCUAAUUUUUUUUUUUAAUUUUUAGUAGAGACAGAGUUUCACCAUGUUGGCCAGGCUGGUCUCGAACUCCUGGCCUCAAGUGAUCCACCUGCCUCAGCCUCCCAAAGUGGUGGGAUUACAGGUGUAAGCGACCACGCCCGGCCUUUUAAAAUCGACUUGAGUCUCAUCUCCUGAAAUGCAAAAUGCAUUGGGCCUGUCUCUUACUUCUGCAUGUCUCAUAAUGCUUAGCACAGCACAAGCCCCGAGAGCGCAUCAUACACCCUGGGGUGGGGAGCUCCUGGCAGGGCUGGAUCCACUCACCAUUCCUGCCAUCCAUUGGCACUUGGCUCAGCACAGUUAGGCCAACAAGGACAUAAUAGACAAGUCCAAAACAGUACUGCACGACGUGAAUCAUGACAUUGGAGAAGACACUGACGUAGAGGCACUCGAAGAGUCUUCGUAAGCUGUGCAGCCACAGAAAUACUAGCACUAAGAAUGCAGACAGUGCCAGCUCCCCUCCUACAAUUCAGAAGGCAACAGGGUCAGCAUUUCUCUUCUGGGAUUAAUCCAAAGUUUUGUUUUUCUGUACUGUUAAGCAAAGUAUUAAAUCCCAUCUAACAUC